rnacentral:rRNA from 1 species
GACCCUAUAGAGUUUAAUAUUUUAUUGAUAAAUUAUUUUUUAGAAUUUAAUAUUAAUUUAUUAAUUGAAUAUUUGAUUGGGGUGAUUGAAAAAUUUAAGUAACUUUUUUUAUAUUUAAACAUUAAUUUAUGAUUAUUUGAUCCAUUAUUUAUGAUUAUAAGAUUAAAUUACCUUAGGGAUAACAGCGUAAUUUUUUUUAAGAGUUCAAAUCGACAAAAAAGAUUGCGACCUCGAUGUUGGAUUAAAAUUUAUUUUUGGUGUAGAAGCUAAAUUUAUUGGGUCUGUUCGACCUUUAAAAUUUUACAUGAUCUGA